UAGAGUUUGAUCCUGGCUCAGGACGAACGCUGGCGGCGUGCUUAACACAUGCAAGUCGAGCGGUAAGGCCUUUCGGGGUACACGAGCGGCGAACGGGUGAGUAACACGUGGGUGAUCUGCCCUGCACUUCGGGAUAAGCCUGGGAAACUGGGUCUAAUACCGGAUAUGACCUCCUAUCGCAUGGUGGGUGGUGGAAAGAUUUAUCGGUGCAGGAUGGGCCCGCGGCCUAUCAGCUUGUUGGUGGGGUAAUGGCCUACCAAGGCGACGACGGGUAGCCGACCUGAGAGGGUGACCGGCCACACUGGGACUGAGACACGGCCCAGACUCCUACGGGAGGCAGCAGUGGGGAAUAUUGCACAAUGGGCGAAAGCCUGAUGCAGCGACGCCGCGUGAGGGAUGACGGCCUUCGGGUUGUAAACCUCUUUCAGCAGGGACGAAGCGCAAGUGACGGUACCUGCAGAAGAAGCACCGGCUAACUACGUGCCAGCAGCCGCGGUAAUACA
rnacentral:rRNA from 1 species